AUCUUUGGUUAUCUAGCUGUAUGAGUGGUGUGGAGUCUUCAUAAAGCUAGAUAACAAAAAAG
rnacentral:pre_miRNA from 1 species